CCUACGGGUGGCUGCAGUGAGGAAUAUUCGGCAAUGGGCGCGAGCCUGAACCAGCCACGUAGCGUGAAGGAAGACUGCUCUACGGUUUUUAAAUUUCUUUUAUAAAGAAAUAGAAUGUGGCACUAGUGCCUUUUUAUAUCACGUUUAUCUAUGUGGAUCGGCUAACUCUGAGCCAGCAGCCGCGGUAAUACGGAGGAUCCUAUCGUUAUCCGGAUUUAUUGGGUUUAAAGGGAGCUUAGAUGGGUUAGUAAGUCAGUUGUGAAUGUUUGCGGCUCAACCGUAAGAUUGCAAUUGAUACUGGCAGUCUUGAGUACAGUUGAGGUAGGCGGAAUUCGGGGUGUAGCGGUGAAAUGCUUAGAUAUCACGAAGAACACC
rnacentral:rRNA from 1 species